UUGAGCAUAUUAAAAUUGCCCUUGAAACUUUAAGAAAAGAAAAACUAUAUGUAAAUCUUUAAAAGUGUACUUUUUGUAGUGAUAAAUUAAUCUUCUUAAAGCUUGUUGUUAGGACAUUGAAAUAGACAAAGAGAAAGUAAGAGCCAUUAGAGAUUGGCCCAUGCUUAAGUUAGUAAGUGAGGUGAGAAGUUUCUACGGAUUGACAGGUUCAUACAUAUGGUUUAUAAAAUAUUUCAGUUCCUU
rnacentral:lncRNA from 1 species